UACAGAGGGGGCAAGCGUUGUUCGGAAUUACUGGGCGUAAAGGGUUCGUAGGCGGUGUGGCAAGUCGGGAGUGAAAUCUCUGGGCUCAACCCAGAGUCUGCUUCCGAAACUGCUGUGCUUGAGUGUGGGAGAGGCGCGUGGAAUUGCAGGUGUAGCGGUGAAAUGCGUAGAUAUCUGCAGGAACACCCGUGGCGAAAGCGGCGCGCUGGACCACUACUGACGCUGAGGAACGAAAGCUAGGGGAGCAAACAGG
rnacentral:rRNA from 1 species